rnacentral:rRNA from 1 species
AUUGAACGCUGGCGGCAUGCCUAACACAUGCAAGUCGAACGGUAACACGUCUAGGGUUGCCGACGAGCGGUGACGGGGGGCGUAAUAGUUAGGAAUGUGUCAGAUACUGGGGGAUCAUGGGGCGAAACGUUUGCCAAUAUCGCAUACGAGCUAAUGUUGAAAGCGGGGGAUCUCAGGAGUUCGAGCGGGCUUUGCGGUCGCUGGCAGAUUAGGUAGUUGGUGGGAUAAAAGCUUACCAAGUCGACGCUCUGUAGCUGGUCUGAGAGGAUGAUCAGCCACACUGGAACUGAGACACGGCCCAGACUCCUACGGGAGGCAGCAGUGGGGAAUUUUGGACAAUGGGCGAAAGCCUGAUCCAGCCAUGCCGCGUGCAGGAUGAAGGCCUUCGGGUUGUAAACUCCUUUUGUUCGGAACGAAAAGCCGCGUACUAAUAAAGAGAUGUCAUGACGGUACCGAAAGAAUAAGCACCGGCUAACUACGUG